rnacentral:rRNA from 1 species
UUGGUGACCAGCGGAGGGAUCAUUACCGAGUUUACAACUCCCAAACCCAAUGUGAACGUUACCAAACUGUUGCCUCGGCGGGAUCUCUGCCCCGGGUGCGUCGCAGCCCCGGACCAAGGCGCCCGCCGGAGGACCAACCAAAACUCUUUUUGUAUACCCCCUCGCGGGUUUUUUUAUAAUCUGAGCCUUCUCGGCGCCUCUCGUAGGCGUUUCGAAAAUGAAUCAAAACUUUCAACAACGGAUCUCUUGGUUCUGGCAUCGAUGAAGAACGCAGCGAAAUGCGAUAAGUAAUGUGAAUUGCAGAAUUCAGUGAAUCAUCGAAUCUUUGAACGCACAUUGCGCCCGCCAGUAUUCUGGCGGGCAUGCCUGUCCGAGCGUCAUUUCAACCCUCGAACCCCUCCGGGGGGUCGGCGUUGGGGAUCGGCCCUCCCUUAGCGGGUGGCCGUCUCCGAAAUACAGUGGCGGUCUCGCCGCAGCCUCUCCUGCGCAGUAGUUUGCACACUCGCAUCGGGAGCGCGGCGCGUCCACAGCCGUUAAACACCCAACUUCUGAAAUGUUGACCUCGGAUCAGGUAGGAAUACCCGCUGAACUUAAGCAUAUCAAUAAAGGCGGAGG